rnacentral:rRNA from 1 species
CUCGAGGUGGCUGCUUGGGACUCCCUCCUCCAAGACGUGGCCCUUAUGCCGAUGAACAUCGAGGAGGACCAGGAUGCCAUUUCUUGGCACCUUGAGCCGUCUGGCCGCUUCUCCACAAAGUCCAUGUAUGCCGCCAUCGCGCCCUCGACAGCCCCGGAACCCUUUAGCCUGAUAUGGGACAUCUGCCUCCCUUUGAAGAUCAGGAUCCUCCUGUGGCAAUGGAUCCGCGGACGCCUCCCCUCUGAGGUUGAAGUCCUCAAGCGUAACGGCCCGGGAGAUGGGAGGUGUCCC